UAUUCCAAUUUUCAAACCAGCCAAACUUUUAAUGGCAAAUUGAGUUCGGUUUCAUUCAAACUGCAAGAACAUGGAAACUAAAGUCUUUGAAUUCAGAACUUUUAAGGGCGUAGAAAGAGAAAAAUUCGAUCAUAAAUGUCGGCUCUGUUUGAGCACAGAGACUCUCGAGAAAGUCAUAAAGGGAGGAGAACUUGCCAAAUGCAUUUCGGACCUUCUCGCAAUACAGGUAACCGGUACGGACGGCUUUAGUCAGCUUAUCUGCGCUACUUGUCGGAAUCGGGUGAACGAGUUCCAAAAAUUUAAAGAACGCUGCCAGGAAGUGCAAGGAAGACUGAUAUUUGCGAAGAAAGACGUAAUCUGGCCGUGUUACAAAUGUCCCAAGGUGUUUAAAGGAAAGAGGCAAUUGAAGGAUCACUUAAGGUACCACGGACCGAAAUGUUUUACUUGUACCGUUUGCGGAAAGGGGUUUGCAAGGAAGUCAUUGCUAGUUACCCACUCUAGGAUUCACGCGGAAGGCUAUCCGAGCAGACGGCUUAAAUCUAAGUUGAAUGUGCAGCAAAAUGUGGAUGCGCAGCCGGAAGUGAAAAUUGAGCCAAAAGAGGAAAAUGAUUUUUCAAGCGAAUCGGAGCAAGAAACAGGACAGCACGAUGUUGAAAAUGAAGAGGAACUCAGUUUAGAUAAUUCCAGCGAUUUACAGCUGCAGAACAUUCCAAUCAAGCAGGAAACUGCGGAACAUGCAUCGAUGAUUGACGAUGUAGGGGCUGAAAGUGAUUCUUUUGUUGUAGAGGAUAUGGUUGAAAUACAGCAAGUAAAACUUGAAGUUUGUUCCGAUGAUGAAGAAGAGAGGCCAACCACUCAAACAUCUGCAGAACUGAGUGAAACUUCACCAGCAUCACGUUCAAAACGAAAAAAGCCGAUCGGAGUAGGACCUUUAACGUGCGAUUUGUGUCAAAAGGAUUUCUGGCUGCAAAUUAGACUUGAUCAACACAUGAAAAGAAAACACGACACCAAAAAACUCUGCACUGCUGGGAACGAGGUCAAUAUAAGCGAUUGAUUGGAGAUAUUGCAAUUUUGAUGCCAAGAGAUUUAUAGAAAUCUUAUAGAUCUAACUGCUCAUCGAAAUAUAUUAAGAACUAUCUUCGAUAAAUUUUAAUGCAUACACAAAACCUUGGAAAAAGAACAACCAAAUUUGUUAAUGACUAACUGAAUCAUAUGCAUUCGACGAAGCUGCUAUAUUGAAACGCCGAUGCUGUCUACCAAGAGUAUUUUGCUAUUCCGUUGCAAAGGGUAAAAAGAUAACUAGGCACUUCCAUGUUUCACUUUGGCAUGAGGGUUUUUCUGGAACAAAGUAUCUGAAUCUUUUAAAUAAGAAGCACUUCAAUACGACGCAUAUUGUGGGCAAAUAUGAGUUCAUUAGCUGCGCCAAAAAGCACCAGUGAAAAAGAAUCAAAAGUGCCAAUAAUAUGAUCCGGCUUUUUAUCAAAUGCAUGAAUGGCCUAGUUUUCCUGAAUAAAGGAACAGUGCUGAAAAGUGCUACUUUUCUCUUCUGUGUCGAAAAGUAGCACUUUUCAGUAUUGUUUUCUGGGAGUCGUCAACUAAAUAUCAGAAUAUUUUCAUUAAUAGAAUGGUUUGAUCGAAACUUUUCCGGGUUUCUCAAUGAUUUUAUCAACUAGCUUCUGAUUCUACAUAGGCCAGGAGAAGUGGAUGAACUUUUCAUUCAUUUUUCUGUCAAUUCUUAUACAAAAUGUACUUUUUCUCUGACAGAAAUUCACUCUAGGUGAACCACUUCCCCUGGCCUAUGUAUUGAGACAUCCAAAUCGGACUCAGGAAUGUUUUGAAUUCGCACCACCAGCGGACCUAGAGGAGGUUGUGGAGGUGAUGGUUCGUGAAGGAGAAGGUAGUUUAGCAUGUGAGCAGAGUGGUCAAAAAUUGUAUGCGGCGUUUUACCUGAUUAGUUUAAAAAUAUAGAAUGCAGAUCAAUAUGAUAUUGAUGGAAGAGUGUAAAUGAA